CCCCAGCUGAUGAGUCCCGAAUAGGACGAAAAGCGCGUCCUGAAU
rfam:Schistosoma rodhaini strain Burundi genome assembly, scaffold: SROB_scaffold0000500